GACGAACGCUGGCGGCGUGCUUAACACAUGCAAGUCGAGCGGAAAGGCCCUUCGGGGUACUCGAGCGGCGAACGGGUGAGUAACACGUGAGCAAUCUGCCCUUAGCUUUGGGAUAGCUCCGGGAAACCGGGAUUAAUACCGGAUAUGACUGCGGCUGACAUCGGUCGUGGUGGAAAGAUUUAUCGGCUAGGGAUGAGCUCGCGGCCUAUCAGCUUGUUGGUUGGGGUAACGGCCCACCAAGGCGACGACGGGUAGCCGGCCUGAGAGGGC
rnacentral:rRNA from 1 species